AGGAAAGCCUCUCAAUGAGCAAAAGCUUCUGGUUUAAGUCCCAGAGUUCCUGACAAACAAUGUACCACAACUUCAUAUACAUCUGCACUUUUAUUUUGUUUUUUUACAAGAAAUCUUCUGGCAAUUCUGUAAACCAGGCAGGAAUGUCAGCAGCUUUUGAGGGAGAAAACAUCACUUUAGACUGCUCGUAUAAUGUAGAUGCAUACUACAUGUUCUGGUACAUCCAAGAUUCCCAAGGACCACCUGAAUUCCUACUUCAGGAUUACAUGAAGCCUGAAAACUAUGCUCCGAGGAUUCGUGGAAGAGCAGAAGCUGUUAUAAACAAAACCAGCAAAACGUUUCCCCUCACACUGUCUAAACUGAAGCUGUCUGAUGCGGCUGUGUACUUCUGUGUGCUGAGUCCUCACAGUGUGUGAGAAACAGAGUCCCUCAUACAAAAUAUAGGAAGCACUGCGUAAAACAUCAGUGACACAUGACAGUUCCCUGACAGAUAAAGAAUGCAUUGUGCCACAAUAGCUUCAUUUCACUGAUUGCCUAGUGUUUACCUAUGAGAGGUAGCUGCUGGGCUCUAUUAAAAUGUCUUAAUUAAAUAAAAGUUGGAGAAAGAAAAGAGUU